rnacentral:rRNA from 1 species
CCGACUGCUAUUUGGGUGAGGAUAAGCCAUGCGAGUCGAAUGGGAUACCUAAACUUCCCAUGGCAAACUGCUCAUUAACACAUGAUCAACUUACCCUAUGGAGAGAAACAACCUCGGGAAACUGAGGAUAAUUUCUCAUAGUUGAAUAGGCUUGGAAAAGUUUUUCAAUGAAACGGGUAAGAUAAAUGGUUUUUAUCCGCCAUAGGGUAGGAUCGUGGUCGUUUAUGGUUGUUGGUAAGGUAACGGCUUACCAAGCCGAUAAUCGAUAGGGGCCGUGAGAGCGGGAGCCCCGAGAUGGGUACUGAGACAGCGACCCAGGCCUUACGAGGCGCAGCAGGCGCAAAACCUCCGCAAUACUCGAAAGUGUGACGGGGUUACCCAAAGUGUCCUUAUUGGACUGUGGUAGGUGAGUAAUGUUCCCUACUAGAAAGGAGAGGGCAAGGCUGGUGCCAGCCGCCGCGGUAAAACCAGCUCUUCAAGUGGUCGGGAUAAUUAUUGGGCUUAAAGUGUCCGUAGCCGGUUUAGUAAGUUCCUGGUAAAAUCGGGUAGCUUAACUGUCCGUAUGCUAGGAAUACUGCUAUACUAGAGGGCGGGAGAGGUCUGAGGUACUACAGGGGUAGGGGUGAAAUCUUAUAAUCCUUGUAGGACCACCAGUGGCGAAGGCGUCAGACUGGAACGCGCCUGACGGUGAGGGACGAAAGCCAGGGGAGCGAACCGGAUUAGAUACCCGGGUAGUCCUGGCCGUAAACGAUGCAUACUAGGUGAUGGCACGGCCAUGAGCCGUGUCAGUGCCGUAGGGAAACCGUUAAGUGUGCCGCCUGGGAAGUACGGUCGCAAGGCUAAAACUUAAA